rnacentral:rRNA from 1 species
AACGAACGCUGGCGGCAGGCUUAACACAUGCAAGUCGAACGGUUGUAGCAAUACAGCAGUGGCAGACGGGUGAGUAACACGUGGGAACCUUCCUAGGGGUACGGAACAACUCAGGGAAACUUGAGCUAAUACCGUAUACGUCCGUGAGGAGAAAGAUUUAUCGCCCUUAGACGGGCCCGCGUCGGAUUAGCUAGUGGGUGGGGUAACGGCCUACCAAGGCGACGAUCCGUAGCUGAUCUUAGGGGAUGAUCAGCCACACUGGGACUGAGACACGGCCCAGACUCCUACGGGAGGCAGCAGUGGGGAAUCUUGGACAAUGGGCGCAAGCCUGAUCCAGCCAUGCCGCGUGAGUGAAGAAGGUCUUCGGAUUGUAAAGCUCUUUUGCCAGGGACGAUAAUGACGGUACCUGGAGAAUAAGCCCCGGCAAACUUCGUGCCAGCCGCCGCAGUAA